GACGAACGCUGGCGGCGUGCUUAAUACAUGCAAGUCGAACGGAAAGGCCCUGCUUUUGUGGGGUGCUCGAGUGGCGAACGGGUGAGUAACACGUGAGUAACCUGCCCUUGACUUUGGGAUAACUUCAGGAAACUGGGGCUAAUACCGGAUAGGAGCUCCUGCUGCAUGGUGGGGGUUGGAAAGUUUCGGCGGUUGGGGAUGGACUCGCGGCUUAUCAGCUUGUUGGUGGGGUAGUGGCUUACCAAGGCUUUGACGGGUAGCCGGCCUGAGAGGGUGACCGGCCACAUUGGGACUGAGAUACGGCCCAGACUCCUACGGGAGGCAGCAGUGGGGAAUAUUGCACAGUGGGCGGAAGCCUGAUGCAGCAACGCCGCGUGCGGGAUGACGGCCUUCGGGUUGUAAACCGCUUUCGCCUGUGACGAAGCGUGAGUGACGGUAAUGGGUAAAGAAGCACCGGCUAACUACGUG
rnacentral:rRNA from 1 species